GAUGCUNGCGGNCUGGNNCACCUCCUUAACUAUGCANGNCGANCGAUGAACCCCUUNGGGGUGGAUUAGUGGCGAACGGGUGAGUAACACGUGGGCAAUCUGCCCUUCACUCUGGGACAAGCCCUGGAAACGGGGUCUAAUACCGGAUACCACUCCUGCCCGCAUGGGCGGGGGUUGAAAGCUCCGGCGGUGAAGGAUGAGCCCGCGGCCUAUCAGCUUGUUGGUGGGGUAAUGGCCCACCAAGGCGACGACGGGUAGCCGGCCUGAGAGGGCGACCGGCCACACUGGGACUGAGACACGGCCCAGACUCCUACGGGAGGCAGCAGUGGGGAAUAUUGCACAAUGGGCGAAAGCCUGAUGCAGCGACGCCGCGUGAGGGAUGACGGCCUUCGGGUUGUAAACCUCUUUCAGCAGGGAAGAAGCGAAAGUGACGGUACCUGCAGAAGAAGCGCCGGCUAACUACGUGCCAGCAGCCGCGGUAAUACGUAGGGCGCAAGCGUUGUCCGGAAUUAUUGGGCGUAAAGAGCUCGUAGGCGGCUUGUCACGUCGGAUGUGAAAGCCCGAGGCUUAACCUCGGGUCUGCAUUCGAUACGGGCUAGCUAGAGUGUGGUAGGGGAGAUCGGAAUUCCUGGUGUAGCGGUGAAAUGCGCAGAUAUCAGGAGGAACACCGGUGGCGAAGGCGGAUCUCUGGGCCAUUACUGACGCUGAGGAGCGAAAGCGUGGGGAGCGAACAGGAUUAGAUACCCUGGUAGUCCACGCCGUAAACGUUGGGAACUAGGUGUUGGCGACAUUCCACGUNGUCGGUGCCGCANNUACGCAUUAAUUNCCCGCCUGGGGNNUCNGCCGCAGGCUAAACUCAANGANUGACGGGGNCCNCACAANCGGGGGACAUGUGCUNAUUGACCACNCAANAACUUCCAGGNUGNAUNNCCGA
rnacentral:rRNA from 1 species